UUAGAUAGAAUUAUAGUUCUUAAGUGGUAUGAAAAAAAUUAAGUUUGGGGUUGCUCUUGGAUGUGAGCAAAGUAAUAAGUUUGGGGUUGGGGUAUUAGAGAAAAAUGAUCAAAAAAAUUCAAAAAUUUGAGGAAAAUAAGAAGUGAAAAAAAAAAGAGAAACUUUUUCAAAAAAUGAUUAAAAGAAUAAAUAUUAAGGACCACAAUUAAAAUAUAUCUAGUACCAUAAAAAAG
rnacentral:lncRNA from 1 species